rnacentral:rRNA from 1 species
AGAUCGGGUAGUAGGUAAGCGAUGGGGUGACGCAGGAAGGUAGUCCAGCCCAGGCGAUGGUUGUCCUGGGGUAAGCAUGUAGGGCGUGUCGUAGGUAAAUCCGCGGCAUUUAAGCCUGAGAUGUGAUGCCGAGCCGAUUGUGGUGAAGUGGAUGAUCCUAUGCUGCCGAGAAAAGCCUCUAGUGAGUGUUGUGGCGGCCCGUACCCUAAACCGACUCAGGUGGUCAGGUAGAGAAUACCAAGGCGAUCGGGUGAACUGUGGUUAAGGAACUCGGCAAAUUGCCCCCGUAACUUCGGGAGAAGGGGGACCUCUGUUGGUGAUGGGCUUUACGCCUGGAGCUGGUGGGGGUCGCAGUGGCCAGGGGGAAGCGACUGUUUACUAAAAACACAGGUCCGUGCGAAGUCGUAAGACGAUGUAUACGGACUGACGCCUGCCCGGUGCCGGAACGUUAAGGGGACCGCUUAGCUGACGUGAGUUGGCGAAGGUGAGAACUUAAGCGCCGGUAAACGGCGGUGGUAACUAUAACCAUCCUAAGGUAGCGAAAUUCCUUGUCGGGUAAGUUCCGACCUGCACGAAUGGCGUAACGACUUCCCCGCUGUCUCAACCGCAGACCCGGCGAAAUUGCACUACGAGUAAAGAUGCUCGUUUCGCGCAGCAGGACGGAAAGACCCCGGGACCUUCACUACAGCUUGACAUUGGCGUUUGGAACGUCUUGUGUAGGAUAGGUGGGAGACUGGGAAGCUGUCACGCUAGUGAUGGUGGAGUCAUUGGUGAAAUACCACUCUGGUCGUUUUGAACGUCUAACUCUGGUCCGUGAUCCGGAUCGGGGACAGUGUCUGGUGGGUAGUUUAACUGGGGCGGUUGCCUCCUAAAGAGUAACGGAGGCGCCCAAAGGUUCCCUCAGCCUGGUUGGCAAUCAGGUGUUGAGUGUAAGUGCACAAGGGAGCUUGACUGUGAGACUGACAGGUCGAGCAGGAGCGAAAGCUGGGACUAGUGAUCCGGCAUCGGCGUGUGGAAGCGGUGUCGCUCAACGGCUAAAAGGUACCCCGGGGAUAACAGGCUGAUCUUCCCCAAGAGUCCAUAUCGACGGGAUGGUUUGGCACCUCGAUGUCGGCUCGUCGCAUCCUGGGGCUGGAGUAGGUCCCAAGGGUUGGGCUGUUCGCCCAUUAAAGCGGUACGCGAGCUGGGUUUAGAACGUCGCGAGACAGUUCGGUCCCUAUCCGCUGCGCGCGCAGGAGACUUGAAGGGGGCUGUCCCUAGUACGAGAGGACCGGGACGGACGAACCUCUGGUGUGCCAGUUGUACCGCCAGGUGCACGGCUGGUUGGCUACGUUCGGAAGGGAUAACCGCUGAAAGCAUCUAAGCGGGAAGCUCGCCUUGAGAUGAGGUCUCCCACCACGAGAGUGGGUAAGGCUCCCGGUAGACGACCGGGUUGAUAGGCCGGAGGUGGAAGCACGGUAACGUGUGGAGCUGACCGGUACUAAUAGGCCGAGGACUUGACC